GACGAACGCUGGCGGCGUGCUUAACACAUGCAAGUCGAGCGGUAAGGCCCUUUCGGGGGUACGACGAGCGGCGAACGGGUGAGUAACACGUGGGUGACCUGCCCUCAGCUCUGGGAUAAGCCUGGGAAACCGGGUCUAAUACCGGAUAUGACUCCAUGACGCAUGUUGUGGGGUGGAAAGCCUUGUGCGGCUGAGGAUGGGCCCGCGGCCUAUCAGCUUGUUGGUGGGGUGAUGGCCUACCAAGGCGACGACGGGUAGCCGGCCUGAGAGGGCGACCGGCCACACUGGGGACUGAGACACGGCCCAGACUCCUACGGGAGGCAGCAGUGGGGAAUCUUGCGCAAUGGGCGAAAGCCUGACGCAGCGACGCCG
rnacentral:rRNA from 1 species